rnacentral:rRNA from 1 species
AGAGUUUGAUCCUGGCUCAGGAUGAACGCUAGCUACAGGCUUAACACAUGCAAGUCGAGGGGCAGCAUGGUCUUAGCUUGCUAAGGCCGAUGGCGACCGGCGCACGGGUGAGUAACACGUAUCCAACCUGCCGUCUACUCUUGGACAGCCUUCUGAAAGGAAGAUUAAUACAAGAUGGCAUCAUGAGUCCGCAUGUUCACAUGAUUAAAGGUAUUCCGGUAGACGAUGGGGAUGCGUUCCAUUAGAUAGUAGGCGGGGUAACGGCCCACCUAGUCUUCGAUGGAUAGGGGUUCUGAGAGGAAGGUCCCCCACAUUGGAACUGAGACACGGUCCAAACUCCUACGGGAGGCAGCAGUGAGGAAUAUUGGUCAAUGGGCGAGAGCCUGAACCAGCCAAGUAGCGUGAAGGAUGACUGCCCUAUGGGUUGUAAACUUCUUUUAUAAAGGAAUAAAGUCGGGUAUGGAUACCCGUUUGCAUGUACUUUAUGAAUAAGGAUCGGCUAACUCCGUGCCAGCAGCCGCGGUAAUACGGAGGAUCCGAGCGUUAUCCGGAUUUAUUGGGUUUAAAGGGAGCGUAGAUGGGUUGUUAAGUCAGUUGUGAAAGUUUGCGGCUCAACCGUAAAAUUGCAAUUGAUACUGGCAGUCUUGAGUACAGUUGAGGUAGGCGGAAUUCGUGGUGUAGCGGUGAAAUGCUUAGAUAUCACGAAGAACUCCGAUUGCGAAGGCAGCUUACUAACCUGUAACUGACAUUGAUGCUCGAAAGUGUGGGUAUCAAACAGGAUUAGAUACCCUGGUAGUCCACACGGUAAACGAUGAAUACUCGCUGUUUGCGAUAUACUGCAAGCGGCCAAGCGAAAGCGUUAAGUAUUCCACCUGGGGAGUACGCCGGCAACGGUGAAACUCAAAGGAAUUGACGGGGGCCCGCACAAGCGGAGGAACAUGUGGUUUAA